UAUGUGUGCCACCAUAUUUGAUAUUUGAUGGACAUGAAAAUUAAGUCAUUGUGAUUUUAGCUGUUGUGACGCUUCUAACAUAUAUCGUCUAAGUAGCCAUUUUGGAUAAAAAUAACUCCCUCGCAGUUUUGAAUCACGGUGGAAACAUCGUGUAAGUGGAAACACCGUGUAACCGCCGGUAAAUCAACCGUGUUUCCACCGUGGAUUUGUUCCAUUUUCACACCGUGUAUACACCGGUAGAGUAUCAAUUAAUUGAUAUUUAACACGUCCAUUUAAUCGUGAAUUGUAUCGUACAUUGUAAAUGUAAUUGUCAUUUGGUUUUCAUCGGGCAAUUAUUUAAAUACUUUUAAUUUAAUAUCGUUUAAUAUUUUUGUCCAUUUGCUUCAGAAUGUCAAGAAAAUACGAUACUUUCUGGGCAGGUAUCAUGAUUGAUAAAAAUACGAAAGUAGCGGUACCGGUGAAAGAUAUUCACGAGUUUAACCCGGAGAAAUACGACAAAAUGACCUAUUAUUUUUUUAAUUAUGGUGAAUCAGUGGAGAAGGGUUUAAUCCUCGGAACUGAAGGUAUACGCUGGAAAUAAUCGAUGGAUCCCACAGAUAAUUUUUGACCAAUUAAUGGGAGCAACAAAACCAACUAUGUUUGUUAACCGAGCAGCUGAUUUCUUUUUUAGCAAAAAUCUUAAGACGCUUCUUGAAAGUUCCGUAACUGGUCAAACUUCCCAUCGAACUAAAAAUAAAAAUGAUGAAUCGCUUAAAUAAUUAGAUGAAAAUAUUCUGCUUACCAUGUCAGGUUUGUUUGCACAUUACUUGAGUCAUUCUAUUUUUACGAAAUCAUUGAAACCGUUCGAAGGAACUCAAGAGGUGGGAAAAAUGAGACAACAUAUAUCUAAAUAUAUUGGGAAUCUUAAAGAUAAAACAAAUAAUCCUAAAAAAAAAGAAGCAGUCUAAAGAAAAAGUAAAUAAAGAUAUCAGAACAGAUGUAAAUGUUGAAGGAGAAGACUAUGAAAAAGGUGGAAACAAUGACAAUAUCGAAGAUGACAAAAGUUAUGAAGAAGAAAAUGAGGUGGAUGAAGGAAUAAAAGAAAAAAUAUCGGCAAUUUUUAAAUAAAGAACCUGAAGUGAUGACGGAAAUGACAAAAAUAAAUAAAAUAACAACUUUUACUCUGCUUCAAUAUUUAUGAAGGGCAUUAAUAAAUAAAGUUUUUACAUU